UACUGUUUCAAUUUCAGUUUCAAUUAUAUUUUAUCCCCAAUAUAAAUAUCUCUAUGUACUAAAGAAAAGACAAGAAGGAAGAAAGGAAAAGGUGAACCCAGGAUUAAAAUGAGAUCCAACAUCUGUAAAAUCCCAAAUGCCUCCUUUUUGCCAGAUGGUGAGCUCUGGUCUGGGCGUGUCCCAAAAAUAUACAAGAGUAUGAAUAAUGCAUCGGAUAUGACUUAUUUCACAGUGUAUCUCUGGAUGUUCCUACCCACUCACGCAUACAGAAAAGCAUACACACACAAGCACACGUGUACUCACAUAUUCACACACAGACAGAUGCAAACAUGCACCCACACCCGUGCGCCCACGCACACAUACACACACACACAGUAUAGAUCAUUAAAACAAGCCAGGGGUCCACAUCUGCUAAAUGCUCCCGGUUGUGUAUACAAGAUGUGUGAGGUUCAUUGACAAAAACUACUUUUCUAGUCUAUGUUGGCACCACAUAAAAAAACCAAACAACAUAAGGUAUAAGCUAAGUCAUCCAAAAUGUCCACAUUUCACCAUCACGAUCUCCAUUCAGUGAGCAAAGACAGUCAACUCAUUUGUCGUCUCUUCUGUGACUUUCAUGCUAUUUCAUAAUGUCCGUCCCGUUAUGUGUAUGCAGGGACAUUGGCGGCUAUGGCCUUGUAAAAAUCUCACCCGGCCAAAUGACAGAAAGGUGUUAAAAGCUAGAAUCCAAUGGACAAUAUGGCCUGCCUCAACCUCUGUAAAGUCACGACUCGAGCAAUGAACUGUCAUUAAAGAAACUUGGCUGGAAUAUAACCUUGGAUUGCUUCAUGGCGGCGAUUGUAAAGAAGAUGAAGGGGCUGACUUUUGAAAGGCCUUGUGACAAGUCUAAAUCAAGCCACAAAGGUAUAAAAAGAAUCUUCAAGGAGCUGUCCCCUGCAGAUUGGGCAGUGGCAGACAAAAAGAGAAAAAAAAGAAAGGCCUUCAGUGAAUUUUCCACUGGUUGUUCUGGGGUUUCUCACAGGGAUUUUGUUCCAUGAUUAGUCCAUGAAGUUGGGUGUGAUGAACGUUCAAUGCUGAUGUUGUUACCAUGCUGCCCUCGUGGAGUUUUCAGACGUGUCAGGUCUCUCACUGCGGUGACUGGAGAUGUUGUGGGUUAUUUUAUCUUUUAUUUUUUAUUAUUGAAGGUCAGAGCCGAUGUAAGUUUUGGGAGCCUCAUUGGUGAAUGGACAACAUAUCUUGGGUGUAAUGACUGGCCUCGGUUUCUUUAGUAACAUAGAUGUCAAUGAACCUGCAGCAGAAAAAAGAAAGACAAAGACAAGCGUGAGACACUAAUUGUGAAGUUAGAUCGUUUCAGACAUGCGCCUUGUUAUGCAAAUGUGCAG
ensembl:lncRNA